GAAAGGAUCCCGAACAGAAAGCUAAGCUACCUUUAAAUGGCAGUGUGUGCUCUGGAGCCUGGGAAUGCAGUGCGACAGGUAGAGCCAGCGCCCGCACACUCUCACACGCGGCAAGCAGGAACUGCUCUCUCCAGGCCCCCGGACCAAAGUUGUGGGAGGCUGCCACAAUCCACCUAGCUCAUCUCCAAAGGGAUCCUGCCCUCAGGUCAGCUGUGCUCACUGGCAAAGAGCAUUCUGGUAAAAACCUCCUCUCACCUCAGAAAACUCCACAAAGCUAGGCCCAGCACAGAAAACCAGGUGGAGGAAGGGGGUGUUAGGGAGGGACAGCCGCCACCUUCCCCUACCCCUCAGGCUGCCACCACCAAGGACAACUGUGGUGGACUAGCAAAACCAAUGCCCCAGUUGAGUUCCAGAUUUACAGCUUACCUGUGGGUAAGCCACCGCUCUCCGACCCAUCAAGACUCUUCUCUAAAAUGAGGCUAAUGACAUGGGCCCACCCACAAGGGCUGCGGGACCCACACCAGACAGGAGUGUGAAGCACUCCGUGGAAUCUGGUGGGCAGCUCACAGGGCAGGCCCUAUGGCGGAGGGGAUUCUCGGUGUGCUCGUACCAGCAACCCGUGCCCGAAGGCCCUGCCCACGCUGGUCCUUGGCCACGGGGAGCUGGCCCACAGCAGGCAAGUGGUCACCAACGCUCUCCCACGGUGCAACUCAGCAAAACGCAGCUCGCCCCCACCAGCGUGGAGCCCUGGCAACAGCCAUCUCCACUGGCCUCCCAAGGAGCCUCUCACUUACCCA
rnacentral:lncRNA from 1 species